CCUACGGGAGGCUGCAGUCGAGAAUCAUUCACAAUGGGCGAAAGCCUGAUCGUGCGACGCCGCGUGGGGGAAUGAAGUUCUUCGGAUUGUAAACUCCUGUCAUGUGGGAGCAAAUUAAAAAGAUAGUACCACAAGAGGAAGAGAUUGCUAACUCUGUGCGAGCAGCCGCGGUACUACAGAGGUAUCAAGCGUUGUUCGGAAUCACUGGGCGUAAAGGGUGCGUAGGCUGUUUCGUAAGUCGUGUGUGAAAGGCUCGGGCUCAACCCGCGGAGGGCACAUGAUACGGCGAGACAAGAGGAAUGGGGGGGGAACCGGAAUCCUCGGGGUAGCAGUGAAAUGCGGAGA
rnacentral:rRNA from 1 species